CUACGGGGCGCUGCAGUGGGGAAUAUUGGACAAUGGGGGCAACCCUGAUCCAGCAAUGCCGCGUGUGUGAAGAAGGCCUGCGGGUUGUAAAGCACUUUCAAUAGGGAGGAAAAGCUUUGGGUUAAUACCCCGAAGUCUUGACGUUACCUUUAGAAGAAGCACCGGCUAACUCUGUGCCAGCAGCCGCGGUAAUACAGAGGGUGCGAGCGUUAAUCGGAAUUACUGGGCGUAAAGCGCGCGUAGGCGGUUUGAUAAGUCAGAUGUGAAAGCCCCGGGCUUAACCUGGGAACUGCAUUUGAUACUGUCAAACUAGAGUAUGGUAGAGGGUAGUAGAAUUCCUGGUGUAGCGGUGAAAUGCGUAGAUAUCAGGAGGAAUACCAGUGGCGAAGGCGGCUACCUGGACCAAUACUGACGCUGAGGUGCGAAAGCGUGGGGAGCAAACAGGAUUAGAUACCCUCGUAGUC
rnacentral:rRNA from 1 species